CCACUCAUUUAAAGAGUGCGUAACAGCUCACUAGUCGAGAGUUUUUGCGCCGAAAAUGUCCGGGGCUAAAACACACCACCGAAGCUACGGAAUUGUACGAAUGUACAAUUGGUAGAGGAGCAAUCUGCAAGGAUGAAGCCAAACUGAAAGGAAUGGUGGACGAAGCAGAAGAGAGAAUGCCGGAAUGAGUAGCGAGAUAUAUGUGAGAAUCAUAUAGGUCGAAUGUCUAAGGUUUCCAGAGUAAAGCUGAUCUGCUCUGGGUAAGUCGGGACCUAAGGCGAGGUCGAAAGACGUAGUCGAUGGAUAACAGGUUUAAAUUCCUGUACUACUAAUAAUCAGAACUGUGGGGACACAGGAGGAUAGGAAAACCGAGGAAAGGAAAUACUCGGCUAAGCACAAAGCUGUGGAUAUGAUGCAAAUCACAUAUCUAAAGGUGAAGUGUGAUAGGGAGUGAAGAAAAGUAGCGAAGUUUCUGAAUCCACACUGUCAAGAAAAGCCGCUAUAGUGUUAUUAGUACCCGUACCGCAAACCGACACAGGUAGACGAGGAGAAAAUCCACAGACCGACGGGAGAAGUGUUGUUAAGGAACUCGGCAAAAUGACCCCGUAACUUAGGGAGAAGGGGAGCCUACGAGAGUAGGCCACAGAGAAGAGGCUCAAGCGACUGUUUAGCAAAAACACAGGUCUCUGCUAAACCGAAAGGUGAAGUAUAGGGGCUGACACCUGCCCGGUGCUGGAAGGUCAAAAGGAGAGGUUAGGAGCAAUCCGAAGCUUUGAAUUCAAGCCCCAGUAAACGGCGGCC
rnacentral:rRNA from 1 species